ACGGAAGGCAGCAGUAGGGAAUCUUCGGCAAUGGGGGCAACCCUGACCGAGCAACGCCGCGUGAGUGAAGAAGGUUUUCGGAUCGUAAAGCUCUGUUGUAAGAGAAGAACGUGUGUGAGAGUGGAAAGUUCACACAGUGACGGUAACUUACCAGAAAGGGACGGCUAACUACGUGCCAGCAGCCGCGGUAAUACGUAGGUCCCGAGCGUUGUCCGGAUUUAUUGGGCGUAAAGCGAGCGCAGGCGGUUUAAUAAGGCUGAAGUUAAAGGCAGUGGCUUAACCAUUGUUAGGUUUGGAAAGUGUUAGACUUGAGUGCAGAAGGGGAGAGUGGAAUUCCAUGUGUAGCGGUGAAAUGCGUAGAUAUAUGGAGGAACACCGGUGGCGAAAGCGGCUCUCUGGUCUGUAACUGACGCUGAGGAUCGAAAGCGUGGGGAGCAAACAGGAUUAGAU
rnacentral:rRNA from 1 species